CCUACGGGUGGCAGCAGUGGGGAAUUUUCGGCAAUGGGGGGAACCCUGACCGAGCAACGCCGCGUGAGGGAUGAAGUCUUUCGGUGUGUAAACCUCUGUUAUAAAGGAAGAAAGGUGCGUGUCGGGAAUGACAUGCAAGUGACGGUACUUUAUGAGGAAGCCACGUCUAACUACGUGCCAGCCGCCGCGGUAAUACGUAGGUGGCGAGCGUUGUCCGGAAUGGUUGGGCGAAAGGAGGGAGCAGGCGGCAGGUAAGGUCUGCGGUGAAAGCCCGAAGCUAAACUUCGGCAAGCCGUGGAAACCGAGCAGCUAGAGGGCAGUAGAGGAGCGUGGAAUUCCAGGUGUAGCGGUGAA
rnacentral:rRNA from 1 species